UGAUUUUAGUCUUGCAAAGCUGCUGGUUGAUGAGAAUUCACAUCUUACAACUAUGACCAUUGGCAUUUAGGCUAUCUGGCUCCGGACUGUUGACAAAGUGGGGCAGCCACUGAGUAAUUGGAAUGCAUAUAGCUCUGUAGUUCUCCUUCUUGAGCUUGUAAUUGGAAAGGGAAGUAUUGACUUAACAUUUAUGAAGUGUGGUAAGUUGGAUGAACACUUUACUAGAAAGAAUUGACCAAAAGCCAUUUUGGACAAAAGAUAUAUCAUUUCAGAUGCACAAACAGUCGAAGUAGUUCUUAAAUUCAUGGAAGGGUGCACUGAUGCAAAACCAGAUAAUUGGCCGACAAUUAGCCUGGUACUACAGUUGCUAGAGUGAUACCCAUGUCACCUUGUCCUAAGGAUUUUUACUAGUCCCAAGAAUUGGACAUGAAAGCUUGUUGGUGUGGCAUGACCACUGCAAUUGGCUGUGCAUCUGUUAUUUGCUGCCAUUCAUCACUACAAAAAGGAACUAUAGCAAUUGGUGAUGGUGCUAAUGACAUGGGAAUGCUUCAAGAAGCUGAUAUUGGGGUUGGAAUCAGUGGUGUUGAAGGGAUGCGAGUAACUGAUAAGGGCAUUUUCGUGUUGAAGUAUGUAACUCCCAUUUUUCUUGUAUCUUUACCCAAUUGAAGUUUUUCUAUAUUUAAUUCUUUUCAGCUGUCAUGUCCAGUUAUAUUGCCAUUGCUCAGUUUUGAUAUUUAAAGCAUCUGCUACUUGUCAUAGAAAUUGGUCUUACAGAAGAAUCUCAUCUAUGUUCAUGUCAUCCGUACCUAGUAACAUUUCAAAAGCAAGUUCCAGAGUUUCAAUGCUGGCUGAAACUUACGCAUCAAAGUUCUUGAGGAAAUCAAAUUUUAGUACUUUGUCAAGUUUAUAUUUUCA